rnacentral:rRNA from 1 species
UACGUAGGGUGCAAGCGUUAAUCGGAAUUACUGGGCGUAAAGCGUGCGCAGGCGGUUUUGUAAGUCUGUCGUGAAAUCCCCGGGCUUAACCUGGGAAUGGCGAUGGAGACUGCAAGGCUAGAAUCUGGCAGAGGGGGGUAGAAUUCCACGUGUAGCAGUGAAAUGCGUAAAGAUGUGGAGGAACACCGAUGGCGAAGGCAGCCCCCUGGGCUAAGAUUGACGCUCAUGCACGAAAGCGUGGGGAGCAAACAGG